UCAACAACACCCCCUGGCAGAUGAUGGAUCAGUCAUUGAUGGAUCAGCCCAUGCUUUUGGUACACAAUUGGGCCUACAUGAUUUAGAUAUAGGGAGGUAAAUUGAAAAUGACCAUGUGCAGAGAGUUUGCAGAAUUAUGUGCUUGAACAUGGAGAGCAGAGAAAAUGUGGAGGGCAUUGGAACAGUUUUGGAGGGCUGCAGGAGUGUGACCAGCUUUGAGGUGUGACUGCAAACAUAUUAACUGCACCCAACAAGCUCCUUGUUCCAUGGAUCAUAUAUCCAAGACUAAGCCAGAGGACAAAAGAAGAAUCAGCAGUGAGAGAGUACUGAUAUCUACUCCAAUGGUUUCAUCUCUACUUUUGAAGCAACCAUAUAAGAUGUACUUAAGAUGUCCUCACCAAUACCUUGGUAUGCUUCGUCGAGAUGAAAACACACUUACUUCUUGUAUCCUUUCAAGAAAACUUUCAUCAUCGUUCCAAAAUAUCCAAGAUGUCAAGACAAGGUUUCCUUGUUCCAAUUAAACCGAUGUUCAAAGAUAAACUUGAAAUAAGUUGCAACCUCCGGAAGAAAACAAGAAGACUUUG